rnacentral:rRNA from 1 species
UACGUAGGGUCCAAGCGUUAUCCGGAAUUACUGGGCGUAAAGAGUUCGUAGGCGGGAUCUUAAGUGUGAUGUGAAAUCUUGCGGCUCAACCGUAUAGACUAUAUCGCAGACUGGGAACCUUGAGGACGUGAGAGGCAAGUGGAAUUUGUAGUGUAGCAGUGAAAUGCGUAGAUAUUACAAGGAACACCAAUGGCGAAGGCAGCUUGCUGGCACGUAUCUGACGCUGAGGAACGAAAGCGUGGGGAGCGAACAGG